UGUAAAUUUAUGUCGACUUCUAUUUUGUCUUUUUGUUAAAUAGUUGUAAAGUUACUGAUAUGACUAUCACAAAAGAAACGUCUUGUUACUCGAGUAUUGACAUAGUGCAAUUGGACCCUAGAGUAAUAGAAGAAGAAAAAAAAAACUCCUGUGCAGUAAAGAAUCUUGUUUUACUGUUUCACUUGAUGUAUAGGUUAUAUAUAUAUAUUCGCUAUGUCUGGAAUAAGAUGGGGAAAAUUUUGGUCUUUAGUGUAUACUUCGGCAUGAUCAUAAACUGUCGGAAAUUGUAUGAAGACGACUAGAGUUACUAACUGUGAUAUGUUGUUAAUGGAAGACUGAUAAACUUUAUUUUUAUAGAUUUUUCUGUAUUUAUGAGUGGAAUAUUAUUA
rnacentral:lncRNA from 1 species